rnacentral:rRNA from 1 species
AGCGAACGCUGGCGGCAGGCUUAACACAUGCAAGUCGAGCGGGCACUUCGGUGUCAGCGGCAGACGGGUGAGUAACACGUGGGAACGUACCCUUUGGUUCGGAAUAACGCUGGGAAACUAGCGCUAAUACCGGAUACGCCCUUUUGGGGAAAGGCUUGCUGCCGAAGGAUCGGCCCGCGUCUGAUUAGCUAGUUGGUGGGGUAAUGGCCUACCAAGGCGACGAUCAGUAGCUGGUCUGAGAGGAUGAUCAGCCACACUGGGACUGAGACACGGCCCAGACUCCUACGGGAGGCAGCAGUGGGGAAUAUUGGACAAUGGGCGCGAGCCUGAUCCAGCCAUGCCGCGUGAGUGAUGAAGGCCUUAGGGUUGUAAAGCUCUUUUGUCCGGGACGAUAAUGACGGUACCGGAAGAAUAAGCCCCGGCUAACUUCGUG